rnacentral:rRNA from 1 species
AUUGAACGCUGGCGGGAGGCUUAACACAUGCAAGUCGCACGAGCGACGGACGGGUGAGUAAUGUAUGGGCACUGCCCGAUAGAGGGGGAUAACUACUGGAAACUGUGGCUAAUACCGCAUACUAUCGGAUAACCCAUAUGGGAUUAGCUAGUAGGUGUGGUAAAGGCUCCCCUAGGCGACGAUCUCUAGCUUGUCUGAGAGGAUGAUAAGACACACUGGGAAUGAGACACGGCCCAGACGACUACGGAGGCAGCAGUGGGGAAUUUUGGAAAAUGGGCGUAAGCCUGAUGCAGCCAUGCCGCGUGUAUGAAGAAGGCCUUAGGGUUGUAAAGUACUUUCAGCAGAGAGGCGUUAACAGCAGAAGAAGCACCGGCUAACUAAGUGCCAGCAGCCGCGGUAAUAA